rnacentral:rRNA from 1 species
CCUACGGGAGGCAGCAGUGAGGAAUAUUGGUCAAUGGACGAGAGUCUGAACCAGCCAAGUAGCGUGAAGGAUGACUGCCCUAUGGGUUGUAAACUUCUUUUAUAUGGGAAUAAAACGUUCCACGUGUGGGAUUUUGUAUGUACCAUAUGAAUAAGGAUCGGCUAACUCCGUGCCAGCAGCCGCGGUAAUACGGGGGAUGCGAGCGUUAUCCGGAUUUAUUGGGUUUAAAGGGAGCGUAGGUAGUUGUUUAAGGAUGUUGUGAAAGUUUGCGGCUCAACCGUGAAAUUGCAGUUGAAACUGGCAGCCUUGAGUGCGGUGGAGGUGGGCGGAAUUCGUGGUGUAGCGGUGAAAUGCUUAGAUAUCACGAAGAACCCCGAGUGCGAAGGCAGUUCACUGGACUGCAACUGACGCUGAGGCUCGAAAGUGUGGGUAUCAAACAGGAUUAGAUACCCCAGUAGUC